UAACUACUCCCUCCGUUCCAAAAUAGAUGACUCAACUUUGUACUAAGUUGGUAGUACAAAGUUGAGUCAUCUAUUUUGGAACGGAGGGAGUAACUG
rnacentral:pre_miRNA from 1 species